rnacentral:rRNA from 1 species
AGAGGUGAAAUCCCAGGGCUCAACCCUGGAACUGCCUUUAAUACUGCUAGUCUUGAGUUCGAGAGAGGUGAGGUGGAAUUCCGAGUGUAGAGGUGAAAUUCGUAGAUAUUCGGAGGAACACAGUGGCGAAGGCGGCUCACUGGCUACGAUACUGACGCUGAGGUGACGAAAGUGUGGGGAGCAAACAGGAUUAGAUACCCUGGUAG